AAGAUGCAGCAGUGCCUACACAUGCAGUCGUACGAGAAAAUUCGCUUCGGCGAGUAAGUAAAGUGGCGCACGGGUGAGUAACGCGUGGAUAAUCUACCCUUUAGCUGGGGAUAACUCAUCGAAAGGUGGGCUAAUACCCGAUAAUACUGCUUUUACUGCGGUGAAGCAGUCAAAGGUAGCCUCUGUUUACAAGCUUUCACUAAAGGAUGAGUCCGCGUACCAUUAGCUAGUUGGUAGGGUAAUGGCCUACCAAGGCGACGAUGGUUAGCUGGUCUGAGAGGAUGAUCAGCCACACUGGAACUGAGACACGGUCCAGACUCCUACGGGAGGCAGCAGUGAGGAAUCUUGCGCAAUGGGGGAAACCCUGACGCAGCAACGCCGCGUGAGUGAGGAAGGUCUUCGGAUCGUAAAGCUCUGUCGGGUGGAAAGAAAUGUAUGGGGUUAAUAGCCUUCAUACUUGACGGUACCACCAAAGGAAGCACCGGCUAACUCCGUGCCAGCAGCCGCGGUAAUACGGGGGGUGCAAGCGUUGUUCGGAAUUAUUGGGCGUAAAGAGCGUGUAGGCGGCUUGUCAAGUCAGAUGUGAAAGCCCUGGGCUUAACCCAGGAAGUGCAUUUGAAACUGGCAGGCUAGAGUAGGGGAGAGGGAAGUGGAAUUCCUGGUGUAGAGGUGAAAUUCGUAGAUAUCAGGAGGAACACCGGUGGCGAAGGCGACUUCCUGGCCCUAUACUGACGCUGAGACGCGAGAGCGUGGGUAGCAAACAGGAUUAGAUACCCUGGUAGUCCACGCCGUAAACGAUGUUCACUAGGUGUUGGGGGUAUUGACUCUCUCAGUGCCGGAGCUAACGCAUUAAGUGAACCGCCUGGGGAGUACGGUCGCAAGACUA
rnacentral:rRNA from 1 species